rnacentral:rRNA from 1 species
UACGAAGGGGGCUAGCGUUGUUCGGAAUGACUGGGCGUAAAGGGCGCGUAGGCGGCUUUUUAAGUCAGGCGUGAAAGCCCUGGGCUCAACCCAGGAACGGCGCUUGAUACUGAGGGGCUGGAGGACGGGAGAGGAUGGUGGAAUUCCCAGUGUAGAGGUGAAAUUCGUAGAUAUUGGGAAGAACACCGGUGGCGAAGGCGGCCAUCUGGACCGUUUCUGACGCUGAGGCGCGAAAGCGUGGGGAGCAAACAGG